UAGCUAGUUGGUGAGGUAACGGCUUACCAAGGCGACGAUCUGUAGCGGGUCUGAGAGGAUGAUCCGCCACACUGGAACUGAGACACGGUCCAGACUCCUACGGGAGGCAGCAGUGGGGAAUUUUGGACAAUGGGGGCAACCCUGAUCCAGCCAUGCCGCGUGAGUGAAGAAGGCCUUCGGGUUGUAAAGCUCUUUCGGCCGGGAAGAAAUCGCAUGGGCCAAUACCCUGUGUGGAUGACGGUACCGGAAUAAGAAGCACCGGCUAACUACGUGCCAGCAGCCGCGGUAAUACGUAGGGUGCGAGCGUUAAUCGGAAUUACUGGGCGUAAAGCGUGCGCAGGCGGUUUUGUAAGACAGGCGUGAAAUCCCCGGGCUCAACCUGGGAACUGCGUUUGUGACUGCAAGGCUAGAGUACGGCAGAGGGGGGUGGAAUUCCACGUGUAGCAGUGAAAUGCGUAGAGAUGUGGAGGAACACCAAUGGCGAAGGCAGCCCCCUGGGUCGAUACUGACGCUCAUGCACGAAAGCGUGGGUAGCAAACAGGAUUAGAUACCCUGGUAGUCCACGCCCUAAACUAUGUCAACUAGGUGUUGGGUGGGUAAAACCAUUUAGUACCGUAGCUAACGCGUGAAGUUGACCGCCUGGGGAGUACGGCCGCAAGGUUAAAACUCAAAGGAAUUGACGGGGACCCGCACAAGCGGUGGAUGAUGUGGAUUAAUUCGAUGCAACGCGAAAAACCUUACCUACCCUUGACAUGCCAGGAACUUGCCAGAGAUGGCUUGGUGCCCGAAAGGGAGCCUGGACACAGGUGCUGCAUGGCUGUCGUCAGCUCGUGUCGUGAGAUGUUGGGUUAAGUCCCGCAACGAGCGCAACCCUUGUCGUUAAUUGCCAUCAUUUAGUUGGGCACUUUAGCGAGACUGCCGGUGACAAACCGGAGGAAGGUGGGGAUGACGUCAAGUCCUCAUGGCCCUUAUGGGUAGGGCUUCACACGUCAUACAAUGGUCGGUACAAAGGGUCGCCAAGCCGCGAGGUGGAGCCAAUCCCAGAAAGCCGAUCGUAGUCCGGAUUGCAGGCUGCAACUCGCCUGCAUGAAGUCGGAAUCGCUAGUAAUCGUGGAUCAGCAUGUCACGGUGAAUACGUUCCCGGGUCUUGUACACACCGCCCGUCACACCAUGGGAGCGGGUUCCGCCAGAAGUAGGUAGCCUAACCGCAAGGAGGGCGCUUACCACGGCGGGGUUCGUGACUGGGGUGAAGUCGAAACAAGGUAGCCGUAGGGGAACCUGCGGCUG
rnacentral:rRNA from 1 species